UAGUCCACGCCGUAAACGAUGGACACUUGGUGUUGGAGGUAUUGACCCCUUCAGUGCCGAAGCUAACGCGUUAAGUGUCCCGCCUGGGGAGUACGGUCGCAAGAUUAAAACUCAAAGAAAUUGACGGGGGCCCGCACAAGCGGUGGAGCAUGUGGUUUAAUUCGAUGCAACGCGCAGAACCUUACCAGGAUUUGACAUCUAGGGGAAGACUCACAGAGAUGUGGUCGCCUUCGGGCUCCUAGACAGGUGCUGCAUGGCUGUCGUCAGCUCGUGUCGUGAGAUGUUGGGUUAAGUCCCGCAACGAGCGCAACCCUUGUCUUUAGUUGCCAUCAUUCAGUUGGGCACUCUAAAGAGACUGCCGGUGACAAACCGGGAGGAAGGUAAGGAUGACGUCAAGUCAGCAUGCCCCUUAGCCCUGGGGCUACACACGUGCUACAAUGGUCGUGACAAA
rnacentral:rRNA from 1 species